AUAUCAAUAAGCGGAGGAAAAGAAACCAACAGGGAUUGCCUCAGUAACGGCGAGUGAAGCGGCAACAGCUCAAAUUUGAAAUCUGGCCUCUCCAGGGUCCGAGUUGUAAUUUGGUAGAAGAUGCUUCGGGUGUCGGCGUCCGGUCUAAGUUCCUUGGAACAGGACGUCAUAGAGGGUGAGAAUCCCGUAUGUGACCGGCGGCCUCGCCCUGUGUGAAGCUCUUUCGACGAGUCGAGUUGUUUGGGAAUGCAGCUCAAAAUGGGUGGUAAAUUUCAUCUAAAGCUAAAUAUUGGCCAGAGACCGAUAGCGCACAAGUAGAGUGAUCGAAAGAUGAAAAGCACUUUGGAAAGAGAGUUCAAACAGUAC
rnacentral:rRNA from 1 species